UUACUCUUCGUGUUUCUUCAGAUUGAAUAAUGCCUUGCUUUUACUAGGAGUUUUCGUGAAGCGAACCCUCCAUGAGUCUCCAUAAAUUUUUGAGGCUCUGCCCAUGCAGGAC